UUCAUGAACAACCCCGACCGCGGCCGCCCCGCCGGCCCCGCCGGCCGGCUUGCAUGCGAGUGAGAUUCUUAGCUUCCAAAAGAAUCACCAUCAAAGACAGAUUAUGACGUUUCUUGGACCUACUGGCGUCUUACCCACAUCCCGUCUUCCAGCCUUGGUUAUCCGCGGUCGCUGAAAUGCGUGUUGGUGCUUCCAGAAGCACCUUUUGCUAUAAAGGACACAGAACCAGGUUUCUCUCCCAGCGUCUCCUAACAGGCUCUGUGGGGCUGCUCCAGGUAGUUGGAUUCUCCUUGUUCAUAUCGGCCACUGUUGCCUUCUUCCAGCUACACCUACAUGACAACAGCAACAACGUGCGUUGGAAGUGUCUUGUUCCUGAAGCAGCUUGUUUUACCCUUCACCUCUUUGCUUCUGGUGCUUUUUUUAAAUAAUAAUAAAAAAAAAAAAAGCUGAAGACCUCACUCUUUCCUUGCCGUGGAGCAAUUUUAUACGAUGUCUGUGACGGUGGUAUCUGGAAACUUGCCACAAAAGACAACCCGUUACCAGAAAGCCAAAUGACUCAAGGUGCUAUUUUCCUCCCGUGGUGGGACAGGCGAUCCCUGCAGGGUGGAGAGCGUUCUUGCAGGUCCGGUGGUCCUUAAUGAAAAGCGUGGUUCCACCCAGCAAAGGAAAAGAAAAGUAUAUUGUACAAUAAACCCCAGUAAAGCAAACAAUCUUGAUUUAAGCCACUUGGUGCCAGGAUUUGGUGGGGCGCGGUGGGAGCCUUGAUCCUGGCCCCUGUGGUAGCCGGUUCUUUAUUCAUUCCCUGAUUUAAGUCGCAUCCUGGGUUUAUGGCGUUCGAUUCCUUUCUCUGCUCCUCGGUUCCUUGCAAAAGUUCACUGCCGCCACCUCUCUGCGUGCAUCGUCCCGGUUCACGCUGACGAUCGCCUUCCCUGGGAGCCUCCAGCAGCUCCCAGGCUCCUGGUCUAUCGCUUCUAGCGCACGUCAGUGAUUUGGAAACAUGAGUCUUUCCUAAAAUCCCGUGUUAGGCGAGGAUUAGACGUGUUAGACGCGAGCACCGUCUCUGCUGCUGAUCCGUAGGAUGGAAAAGUCAAGUGGGGCUUGUUGCUUUUAGCCGGUGAGAACGGAUAACCCUCCUCUUUACGUACGUAAAGAACAGAGCGGUAGGGUCACGCAGAAACAUUUUUAUUUGAACUGUAAAAAUCUAAUUUUGCGUUUUAGCUUCUUGUAAAGCCCUCCUACCGUAUUUAAAGAGACGUGAACAAACCCAGUAUUUUACGAUUGGACCUUUGUAUAGUUUUUGUCCAUUGCGGGGGGGUCCCAGAGCGAGGUCGCUGUUUCGUUACCCUGGCUUUUGCCUCUCGGAGUGCGGGCUCUGUAUUUAUUGUCAU